GCGGAUAUGGUGGAAUUGGUAGACACGCAUUCUUGAGGGGGAUGUGCCGUAAGGCGUGUGAGUUCGAGUCUCACUAUCCGCACCA
rnacentral:tRNA from 1 species